UACAGAGGGGGCAAGCGUUAUUCGGAAUUAUUGGGCGUAAAGGGCGCGUAGGCGGCCAUUCAAGUGACGGGUGAAAGCCCUCGGCUUAACCGAGGAACUGCCUGUCAGACUGGAUGGCUUGAGACCAGGAGAGGUGAGUGGAAUUCCCAGUGUAGCGGUGAAAUGCGUAGAUAUCCGGAGGAACACCAGUGGCGAAAGCGGCCACCUGGACUGUACCUGACGCUCAAACGCGAAAGCUAGGGGAGCGAACGGG
rnacentral:rRNA from 1 species